rnacentral:misc_RNA from 1 species
UUAACUUAUUAAAUAAGACGCUCAGAUAUCCAUAGAUAACAAGAGUUUAAUGGUCCACCGACGGGCUACCGGGUAGCUAGCUACAGGGUAGGUCCGCCGAGGCAACAAUGGUAAGUUCACAUGGGUUUGGGAGUUUUUUACGACUCUGUAAUGAUCCCUCCGCUGGUUCACCAACGGAGA